rnacentral:rRNA from 1 species
UACAGAGGUCUCAAGCGUUGUUCGGAUUUACUGGGCGUAAAGGGCGCGUAGGCGGCCACCGCAAGUCAAUUGUGAAAUCUCCGGGCUUAACUCGGAAAGGUCAACUGAUACUGCGGGGCUAGAGUGCGGAAGGGGCAACUGGAAUUCUUGGUGUAGCGGUGAAAUGCGUAGAUAUCAAGAGGAACACCUGAGGUGAAGACGGGUUGCUGGGCUGACACUGACGCUGAGGCGCGAAAGCUAGGGUAGCAAACGGG